UGUUCUUCCAGAUCCCCCUUCCUACAUACUGGCUGGGGGCAACACCCUCACUAUCUGGGGUUCGGAGGCAGGCGUAGAAGCCUCUCCAGGUGACCUGGUCAUGAAGAACCAGAGGAACUGGGGUCCGGUCAACAACGUGAUUGUCACCCUACUGAACCCAGAUGAAGAGGAGACCGCAGAGCUGCGUGUGCAGGAGAGAGGAGGAAGA